rnacentral:lncRNA from 1 species
AGCUUUAAAAUGGUAAUUUAUUUUAUGCAGUUUUUUAAAUCCAUUGUUUAAAAAUGUUCAAAAGGCACUUUAAAAAACAUUUAAAAAUACAUUUUUUCUGACUUAUUGGUGAUCACUUAAAAUAAGCAAGUCACCAGACAUUUUAAAAUCAUUCAUGAUACUAUUAUGUUACAUAAUUUUUAAAUUCCAAAACACAAACAUUCUCUGGGCAAUAUAACACACUGCUUAGCAGUAAGAUUAGUUCCCCUCUAAUAAUAUACUUUAUAUGGAUCGCUGCAGGGCCCUGUAAAGUUAUUUAAACUUUGCUGAUAUAAACUAAAAACUAGAGAGGUAAAGGAGUUGAAACAGAGACCUAUUCAACUGUGAAACUAGUUUUAGAGUUGGUUUCUCUAAAUAGAACUUAUAAAAUUUCUCAUUCUAAUCUGAACUAAAAUUUCUAUUUCAACUCCAAUAUAUAAACAUAAGCCAUCUUUUUAAUUAAUAGAGGUUAUAUUUAGUCCAACAUAAACCACAGGUUGUCCCCCAGAUUUCUUAAGUACGCUUCUGUGAAGCCUACUAUAAAUAAGCAGUGAAAUGAGGCAAAUGAGGGUUUUUUUUUUGAGAAAAAGGGAAGUUGGGGAGUGGAAGAAUCC